AGUGUCUAAAAUAUUGUUAUAUUUUACAUUGAAUCAGAACAGGGUCAAAAAUAUUGUUAGACUUCGAAAGGCAUCAGAACAGAGUCUAAAAAUUGUUACAUUUUGAAUCGUAUCAGAUGAGGGUCUUAAAUAUUGUUAUAUUUUAAAAUGCAUCGGAACAGAGUCUAAAAUAUUGCUAUAUUUCAAAAGGUAUCAGAACAGGGUCUAAAAAACCGUUGUAUUUCGAAUCGUACCGUUCACCACUUCAGUAUCAUAGCAA